rnacentral:sRNA from 1 species
UUUGAGCACUGCCCGGCCCACUUGUUCAA